CAGUAGCCGCGGUAAUACGUAGGGUGCAAGCGUUAAUCGGAAUUACUGGGCGUAAAGCGUGCGCAGGCGGUUAUAUAAGUCAGAUGUGAAAUCCCCGGGCUCAACCUGGGAACUGCAUUUGAGACUGUAUGGCUAGAGUGUGUCAGAGGAGGGUAGAAUUCCACGUGUAGCAGUGAAAUGCGUAGAUACGUGGAGGAAUACCGAUGGCGAAGGCAGCCCCCUGGGAUAACACUGACGCUCAUGCACGAAAGCAUGGGGAGCAAACAGGAUUAGAUACCCCCGUAGUCCCUGUCUCUUAUAC
rnacentral:rRNA from 1 species